ensembl:lncRNA
GAAAGAUGGUGACAUAGAAGCACUCUGAACUAACCUCUUCCCAUGGACACAACAAAUUUACAACUACCCUUGGAACAUUACCCCUGAGAGAGACCUGGAAACUGGCUAAAAGACUCCCACAACAAGGGUCGACACUGACCAAAGUGGAAGAGGCAGAAAUAUCUUCCUGGGGAGGAAAAAGCCACAUUCCAGCUGUGGUGCUUCAUGGCCAGGAGCAAUCUUAAGCUAAACCUUGGAUUUGCCCUUACAAAACCUACACAGCUGGCCUGAAGCCUCAUGAGACUGCUAUGCUCCAGGAGCACCGAGGCUGGGAAGACCUGUGUCCAGUCCUGUGGCCUGGACCCACAGAAGAGCAGAAAGAGUAGUCACAGGAGAGAUUAACAAGAGAUCUAAGAGAUGGAGGAAAAUGGAACCUGCCUAAGUAGGAUUUAUCAUCACCUUAUCCCCCUUCCAUUAAGAGCUCCACACCCUGAUAGGGUGACCUAUGCUUUAAAGACCACAUUUUCUCCUUGGAAAUGGAGUUCUUCCUUCCUGGGGCUAAGGACAGAUAUGUGCACAUCUCUGGAGGGUAGUAUCACCUAGCUGCUCACUAAACACAAAGUUUAAUAAGAGAAGUAGCCUGUUUUAAAAGAGCUCAAAGUCUGGUGGGAGACCAGUCCCCAAACACAAGCAGUGGCACAAAGGAAGGGUGAGACCAAGUACUUCACAUGAAUUGUGGACACUCACAGAAUAUAUGUGGCAGCAUGACAAAGGACAAUACUCCAGAGAGAAGUAUAAACAAAAGUCAACAGGAGGUCUGCAUUCCAACUCUGACUCUCCACUGCCUUGUUGUUUAUUAAACUUUACUCCAUUUUCCAAAAAGUAUACGGAAUAUUAAGUGACAAUCAAUUAGAACCCAAGACUGUAAAAGAAUGCUGCUGUUCAACUCUGGGGAGAGAACUCUUACUGACAGAUCCCUGGACCAUUUCCAGCUUGGGGUUACUAUGAAUAAAACUGCUAUGAACAUUCAUCUACAAGACUCUUUCUAGGUGUAGGUUUAUAUUUAUCUCAAACAUCUACUGUGAAAUUUCUGGGUUACAGGGUAGGUAUCUGUUUAACUUAAAAUUUCUGUUAUGAGGGAGUCAAUAGAGACUGUGAAGUGGGAGCGUCUUUAAGUGAAAACAAGUUGGCUAAAAUGGAAGGAUUUUUCUUUUUGUGAUCACACCAAAGUUUUGCCAGGGACGGCAGUUUUAUUCAAACAUUUUAGAAACACUGUAUCAUAAUUUGAGUCCUCAAACUGGAAUGUCCUCUAAAUCAAGGAGGAUGUCUUCAUUGACAUACUAGAGUGCUAUUCAUUUAUAAAGUGUUCGCUCAACUGGACCCACACGCCGCCACUGUGUGCCGUUACUAACGUCUCACACCUCUUUCUAACUGAAUCUGCAUUUCUACACAGAACGAUUCUGCUUUGUUGGGGAAGUUGGCAUAAAAAUCAGCUCAAACUUUGGCCAAAUCCCUGGGAUGGACCCUAUCGAAAGCUCUUUAUUCACUCUCCCAUCAAGUUUGUUAACCAGAUCAAAAAUAACCAUAUCUUUCAUUUUGAAGGAGAAAUCUCUUCACUAAUAACCUUAGAAAUUUCUAGGAUUUUACCCAUUCUGCUGUAUCUCUCAGACAUAUGCUUGCAAAGCUAAGCUGUCUGUGAUGCAUGAUUUUCAAAGUGGUCUUUCUGUUAACUGAAUUAGGUGCCUCAUUAAAGACUCUUGAAAGAGCAAUGCCAAGUUAGCUGGACUGGAAACAGAUACCGGUAAUCCAAAUAUUUAACCAACUUCCUGGAGACCUUGAGGCUAUAGCCUAUUUGGGUUGGAACAGGACCCAGGGUGCCAUCCCCAGGGCAUCUCUGGGCCCAGGCUGGCAAACCAUCAAAGCUGAAAUGUCAAG